rnacentral:rRNA from 1 species
UUUGCAUAUCCAAUAAGCGGAGGAAAAGAAACCAACAGGGAUUGCCCUAGUAACGGCGAGUGAAGCGGCAACAGCUCAAAUUUGAAAUCUGGCCCUCGUGGUCCGAGUUGUAAUUUGUAGAGGAUGCUUUUGGUGCGGUGCCUUCCGAGUUCCCUGGAACGGGACGCCAUAGAGGGUGAGAGCCCCGUCUGGUUGGACACCAAUCCUCUGUAAAGCUCCUUCGACGAGUCGAGUAGUUUGGGAAUGCUGCUCUAAAUGGGAGGUAAAUGUCUUCUAAAGCUAAAUACCGGCCAGAGACCGAUAGCGCACAAGUAGAGUGAUCGAAAGAUGAAAAGCACUUUGAAAAGAGGGUUAAAUAGUACGUGAAAUUGUUGAAAGGGAAGCGUUUGUGACCAGACUUGGGCUUGGUUAAUCAUCCAGCGUUCUCGCUGGUGCACUUUGCCAGCCCAGGCCAGCAUCAGUUCGCCGCGGGGGAUAAAAGCUGCGGGAAUGUGGCUCUUCGGAGUGUUAUAGCCCGCUGCACAAUACCCUGGGGCGGACUGAGGUUCGCGCAUCUGCAAGGAUGCUGGCGUAAUGGUCAUCAACGACCCGUCUUGAACCACGGGACCAAAA